rnacentral:rRNA from 1 species
AGUGAACGCUGGCGGCAGGCCUAACACAUGCAAGUCGAACGGCAGCACAGCAGUAGCAAUACUGUGGGUGGCGAGUGGCGGACGGGUGAGGAAUGCGUCGGAAUCUGCCUAUUUGUGGGGGAUAACGUAGGGAAACUUACGCUAAUACCGCAUACGACCUACGGGUGAAAGUGGGGGACCGCAAGGCCUCACGCAGAUAGAUGAGCCGACGCCGGAUUAGCUAGUUGGCGGGGUAAAGGCCAACCAAGGCGACGAUCCGUAGCUGGUCUGAGAGGAUGAUCAGCCACACUGGGACUGAGACACGGCCCAGACUCCUACGGGAGGCAGCAGUGGGGAAUAUUGGACAAUGGGCGCAAGCCUGAUCCAGCCAUGCCGCGUGUGUGAAGAAGGCCUUCGGGUUGUAAAGCACUUUUGUCCGGAAAGAAAUCCUUUUGAUUAAUACUCGGAAGGGAUGACGGUACCGGAAGAAUAAGCACCGGCUAACUUCGUGCCAGCCGCCGCAGUAAUAC